ensembl:lncRNA
CUUGUCCAGCAGAGCAGAGACACCAGCUCCUGGAGGAGGAGGUGCUGCCGAGGAAGAGGAGGUGGCGACGAUCGCAGCGGGUGGUGGCAGGAGUAAAAGAGGGGCCUUUUGCAAGUCUCCACAGAUGACCGGGGGGAGGACAGAGCUGGUCGGAAGGGGCUGAAGUGGGGGGCUGCAGACACAUGAUGACAGAAGAUAAACCAGGAACACGGGAGCGUAGAUCAAGUGGAACAUCAGUAAAUAACUGAGGCUGGACUGACCUGUAGAUGCAGGCUUAGGGGCCACCAGCUUCUUCACCUGGGCCUGCAUCUCCACAGCAGAUAGAGACAAACACCACAAGCGCUGGACCAAGAGGCCUAUUAUGACACACGAUAAAUGACACGCAACAAUAAUUGAGACAACAUUACAAAAAGCACUUGUGAUGCACUCCUGGCUCUCAGGGUUGCGGGCGAUGCAGAGGCUGCGCUGCUGCUGGAGGCGGUGGAGGAGGUAGAUGCUCCAGCAGCAGCUUUCAUCCUCUGUCUGUCUCUGUUGCGCACAUACUGGACGGCGUUCUCCAUCUGCGUCCCUGGAGCUGGUGACGUCCUCCGGAGGCUCUCCAGGGACUCAAACUUAAAGUCCCCGAAGCCAACAAGGGCCCGUCCCUGCUGACCGGGCUGGAGGGAAUUUGCCCGCGCCUCCUCAAAUGCCCGGUGGAACCUGACUGUCUCCACAAAGUCCUUGUAGGUGGAGGAGUAGCGGGUGAAGGGGUCCUGUGAGGUUACACAGUGAGAUUACACUAUGAGGUUAAAUAUCAUAAUUUCUCUAAUUGUAACUGUCUGAAAGUGUUAUGAAGGACUUAACCUCGUUGGCCAUCAGCGGGGACUGAGCCUCCGUCCUCUGGCGCUCUUUCUGGUGGGAGGCGACCAGAUUGACGCUGUAGCCCACGUCGUUCUCCAAAAGCCAGUGGAAGGUUCUGCCCUGGUAGCGACCCAACUGCACCUUCCACCGGCUCAGGACCAGGGAGGCGUUGGUGGUGUCACCGCCCUCGGUGACAACGAAAGUCCAGGCCUCCGAGUCCACCUCCUCUGGCCUCUUUGCCCU